rnacentral:rRNA from 1 species
AUUGAACGCUGGCGGCAGGCCUAACACAUGCAAGUCGAGCGGAGCGGCGGACGGGUGAGUAAGUCCUAGGAAUCUGCCUGGUAGUAGGGGAUAACGUCCGGCAGCGGGCGCUAAUACCGCAUACUAUCAGAUGAGCCUAGGGCGGAUUAGCUAGUGGGUUGGGUAAAGGCCUACCAAGGCGACGAUCCCUACCUGGUCUGAGAGGAUGAUCAGUCAAACUGGAACUGAGACACGGGCCAGACUCCUACGGGAGGCAGCAGUGGGGAAUAUUGGACAAUGGGCGAAAGCCUGAUCCAGCCAUGCCGCGUGUGUGAAGAAGGUCUUCGGAUUGUAAAGCACUUUCAGUUGGGAGGCGUUACCAACAGAAUAAGCCCCGGCUAACUUCGUGCCAGCAGCCGCGGUAAUAC